UGGGGCAACCAGAGUGCAUUCUGGGAAACCACCGAAGGGAGGGGCUGCCGGGAAGUGAGCGAUUCCAGGCUGGCUUUGCAGGAGGGUGGGCAGAAGCAGGAGACCAGCGCCCCCAGCACAGACCCGGCCAAGGACGUGCAGUAGCAGGGUGAGGGUCCCCCUCUCAGAAGGUCAUUCCAGGGACACAGACCAGCAGAGCCCAAUGGGAAGGCACGACAGGGAGGUGACCGCUAUGACCACAUGGACCUGGAAAACAGUGAAGGCUGAGUUCCCCUCCCGUGCAUUCCGAGCACUGCCCAGCUCCACGGCUGAGCUGGCCUUUAAACAGGGUGACUCCUGCCCCCAGGUCCAGCUUGUGCCCAGCUCCCUGAGGAAAUGGGCUGUGCCAGGGGCUGGAUGGUGGCUGGGCUGAAGCUAGAGGAGGCACCGAGGCUGGAGGGAGGGAGGCCCGCGGGAAGUGACUGGUGGUGACCUGCCAGAUUCCCGCCUCCCUGGGGCCCUGUGCCAGGCAGGAACGAGCAUCGCCCCACUCUGCAGGGGGAAAACUGAGGCCCUCUCCCUCCAGCUGGGCGGCGGGUUUCCUAGCCCUGCUCCCCCCAGCCAGGCUCGGCCGGAAGACGGUGGCCCAGGCAGCCCCGCGGGGGGCAGGGAGGUGGGGAGGGGCCCAGCCAAACCGCAGAACAGGAUUUCUCAGAACUUACAGUACGUGGGGAGAGGAGGCCGGGGCUGCCCCAGGACCUUCGCAGGGCGGAGAGACCGUGCAAUGGGCCCGCGGCAGUGACCUCGGGGGAGGGACUCCGGCCACACCUCCUCCACGAGGACUCGGCCCCACGUCGGGGCACGGGGGGGGGGGGGGGGCACAGGGACAGACGCCAGGGGGUCCCUGCACGGCCAGGCUCGUGCUCACGCUCACAGAUGCGUGCGUUUCACGCAGGAGCUCCGAGAACACACCCGUGUCCGCGUUCCCGCGCCGCCGCCCCGCACACGCCCAUCUGAGCGCACGGCCCGCGCGUGCGCACCCGGCCGCCAGCCACAGCCCGUCGCUGGCGCGUCCAGGCGCUUGGACCUGGUGAUCCGAGCACACAGUCCAGGCUGGGAGGGGUCCCUCAUCCCCAGGGCCGUGUCCAGGCUGAGACUCAAGAAGGGACCACCUCCUUCCACCCCCCUGGGCAUUCUGCACCCACCUUCGCCACCUCUCUGUCCCUCUCCCAGAUGCCCCUCCGCCUUCUGGGCAGGGCACGCUCCCUGCAUUAUUUUAAGAGGUGAAAGUCACAGAAGGUAAAAUGAACCGCGCCAAGGUGCACAUUCACGAGGCUCUGCAACCACCUCCGACUCCAGAACAUCUUCAUCACCCCAAAACCAAGCCCGUCCAAUCCGCAGCCCCACCUGCACCCGGAUCCUCUCCUCCCCCAGCCCCUCCGCAACCACCACCUGCUCUCUCCAGGGAUCUGCCUGUUGGGAAUAUUUCAUAUACAUGGAUUUAGACAACGUGCGACCUGUUGUGACUGGCUUUCUUCAGUGACUCACUUUUCUAGUUCCCACUUUAAGUGUCACCUCCUCAGAAGGACCUUCCCUGAUCUGCCCAGCACCUGAACACCCAGCCUCCUGCUCGGGGGCUCAAAGCCCUCAGCAUUUGACAUUAUCCUGAUCAUUUCUUUUGUGCACAGGAAGGUUAUCCACUUCCUUUGCAAAAGUGAGAAAGGGGUUUCAUUCUCUCGAGGAAGUCGUGAGUGAUUAGAUGAGGAAUGAAUAAAAGAAUCAUG
rnacentral:lncRNA from 1 species